CCACCGGCCGCUCUAGUGGUAGCUGUUUUUAUUGGGCCUUAAGCGUUCGUAGCCGGUUUGGUAAGUCACUGGUGAAAUCCUGUAGCUUAACUCUGGGAAUUGCUGGUGAUACUGUUGAACUUGAGGUCGGGAGAGGUUAGCGGUACUCCCAGGGUAGAGGUGAAAUUCUGUAAUCCUGGGAGGACCACCUGUGGCGAAGGCGGCUAACUGGAACGAACCUGACGGUGAGGGACGAAAGCUAGGGGCGCGAACCGGAUUAGAUACCCGGGUAGUCCUAGCCGUAAACGAUGCGGACUUGGUGUUGGGAUGGCUUUGAGCCGCUCCGGUGCCGAAGGGAAGCUGUUAAGUCCGCCGCCUGGGAAGUACGGUCGCAAGACUGAAACUUAAAGGAAUUGGCGGGG
rnacentral:rRNA from 1 species